GAUGAACGCUGGCGGCGUGCCUAACACAUGCAAGUCGAACGGGUGCGCGGGGCGGAAGAUUUCGGUCGGAAGCCCGGCGCAUGAGUGGCGGACGGGUGAGUAACGCGUGGGCAACCUGCCCUGUACAGGGGGAUAACACCUGGAAACAGGUGCUAAUACCGCAUAACGGGGGCGGCCGCAUGGCCGCCUCCUGAAAACUCCGGUGGUACAGGAUGGGCCCGCGUCUGAUUAGCCAGUUGGCAGGGUAGCGGCCUACCAAAGCGACGAUCAGUAGCCGGCCUGAGAGGGCGGACGGCCACACUGGGACUGAGACACGGCCCAG
rnacentral:rRNA from 1 species